rnacentral:miRNA from 1 species
ACGUGUGUGUGUAGGUAUCUAUGUGUAUAUAAACACACCACACACACACACACACACACACACACACACACACACACACACACA